rnacentral:tRNA from 1 species
GGAUUGUGGCUCAGUGGUAGAGUGCUUGUCUAGCACAUGCAAAUCCCUGGGUUCAAUCCUCAGCACCA